AUUGAACGCUGGCGGCAUGCCUUACACAUGCAAGUCGAACGGUAACGCGGGGCAACCUGGCGACGAGUGGCGAACGGGUGAGUAAUAUAUCGGAACGUGCCCAGCAGUGGGGGAUAGCCCGGCGAAAGCCGGAUUAAUACCGCAUGAGACCUGAGGGUGAAAGCGGGGGAUCGCAAGACCUCGCGCUAUUGGAGCGGCCGCUAACAGAUUAGCUAGUUGGUGGGGUAAAGGCCUACCAAGGCAACGAGCUGUAGUUGUGCUGAGAGGACGAGCAGCCACACUGGAAACGGAACGCGGCACAGGCUCCUACGGGGGGCAGCAGUGGGGAAUUUUGGACAAUGAGCGCAAGCGUAAUCCAGCAAUGCCGCGUGCAGGAAGAAGGCCUUCGGGUUGUAAACUGCUUUUGUCAGGGAAGAAAUCUUCUGGGUUAAUACCUCGGGAGGAUGACGGUACCUGAAGGAUAAGCACCGGCUAACUACGUGCCAGCCGCCGCAGUAAGAC
rnacentral:rRNA from 1 species